rnacentral:rRNA from 1 species
AUAACAAUACAGGACUCUUUCGAGGCCUUGUAAUUGGAAUGAGUACACUUUAAAUCCUUUAACGAGGAUCUAUUGGAGGGCAAGUCUGGUGCAGAGCGACUGACCCGUGCGUGCUGCAGCUGAAGCUCCAC